CAGCAGCCACGGUAAUACGUAGGGUGCAAGCGUUGUCCGGAAUUAUUGGGCGUAAAGAGCUCGUAGGCGGUUUGUCGCGUCUGCUGUGAAAUCCCGAGGCUCAACCUCGGGCUUGCAGUGGGUACGGGCAGACUAGAGUGCGGUAGGGGAGAUUGGAAUUCCUGGUGUAGCGGUGGAAUGCGCAGAUAUCAGGAGGAACACCGAUGGCGAAGGCAGAUCUCUGGGCCGUAACUGACGCUGAGGAGCGAAAGCGUGGGGAGCGAACAGGAUUAGAUACCCGCGUAGUCCCUGUCUCUUAUAC
rnacentral:rRNA from 1 species